GUAAACAUUUAGGGGGAUGGCAUCCACAUCUGCCAGGAGUGGGGACAAAAAGGACAUCAGGUCAUCUCAAGCUGCCGCCUCCUUAGGUGGAGGGCAGAAAGUCUCAUUAUCCUGCUCUGAAGAAUUCCUGACCCGAAUCAGCACAGAACUUACAGACGAAGCACUGUUUAUUGCUCGCUCCCGUUUGAGUCCUCUGCCCAAUAAGGAAAAGAACACAAAAGACCAAGGGACUCAGAUAUCUAGACAUGUGUUCUUCACUAAGACCCGAGGCACUGACACCCGCUCUGACAAAAAUCGAACCCGAACCAAGGCACACCUUCUGCCAUCUCCUCGUGAAAAGGGACCACUCCCCAACAGCCUGACAACUGGAGGAUGAGCUCGGCCCUCCCUAGUACUGCUCUCUCAGCUUCUUGCCUUCCCCCACUAUGUCCCUCAGUGAAAACCUCAAAGCCCCUCUUUUGCAACUAGCUAAGCCUCUCAUCUUGGGAGGAACUCCUGGUCAUAAGCAAUGCCACCUUUGAAACCAAGAAAAUCUUCUGGAACUGUCGCGGGGCCCUCCACCCUUCGUGGGCAAAUGCUACUGAGAAGAAAAGGUUUUAAUAAAGAACCAGGAUCCUCCCUUC
rnacentral:lncRNA from 1 species